GACGAACGCUGGCGGCGUGCUUAACACAUGCAAGUCGAACGGAAAGGCCCUGCUUUUGUUGGGCGCUCGAGUGGCGAACGGGUGAGAAACACGUGAGUAACCUGCCCUUGACUGUGGGAUAACUUCAGGAAACUGGGGCUAAUACCGGAUAGGAGCUCCUGCUCCAUGGUGGGGGUUGGAAAGUUUCGGCGGUUGGGGAUGGACUCGCGGCUUAUCAGCUUGUUGGUGGGGUAGUGGCUUACCAAGGCUUUGACGGGUAGCCGGCCUGGGCGGGGGACCGGCCACAUGGGGACGGGGAUAGGGCCCAGCUCCCUACGGGAGGCAGCAGGGGGAAAUAUUGCAAAAUGGGGGGAAGCCGGAGGCGGCACGGCCGGGGGCGGAAUAACGGCCUUGGGGUGGUAAACCGCUUUCGCUGGUGCCGAAGCGUUAGUGACGGUAACGGUUAAAGAAGCACCGGCUAACUACGUG
rnacentral:rRNA from 1 species